UAUAGGAAAUUGUUAGUGGCAGACGGGUGAGUAAUGCGUAGGAAUCUACCUAGUAGUACGGAAUAGCCAUUAGAAAUGGUGGGUAAUACUGUAUAAUCCCCGAGGGGGAAAGAUUUAUCGCUAUUAGAUGAGCCUACGUUAGAUUAGCUAGUUGGUGAGGUAAUGGCUUACCAAGGCUAUGAUCUAUAGCUGGUCUGAGAGGACGAUCAGCCACACUGGAACUG
rnacentral:rRNA from 1 species